GGUGAAAUGGCCGAGAGGCUGAAGGCGCUCCCCUGCUAAGGGAGUAUAGGGUUUAUCCCCUAUCGAGGGUUCGAAUCCCUCUUUCACCG
rnacentral:tRNA from 1 species